rnacentral:lncRNA from 1 species
AAAGGGAGGUAUAAUAUACUUUUACUUUUUCGAACUCCAGCGUUUCAAAUCAUAACUGUAAAAAUAGCAAUUGCUUUCUCUUUAUUUCUUAAGCAGAAUGGAAAAACCUCUUUCUGCGGAUCGGACCUAUCCAGUGACAUGCAUUUCCACCCUCAGUUGGCUCAGAAUUCCCGUGACUGGUGUAUUAAAAUGGCAGCCUUCCAGACGAGUAACAAGCAUUGCCACACUCUGCCAUCUUUCUAGAUGAAUAGUAAGCAAUAAGUUUUGGACAUUUUUUAAAUUUUUCUUUAAUACGAUUAAAAACACAGUCUUU